UGGGGAAUAUUGGACAAUGGGCGAAAGCCUGAUCCAGCCAUGCCGCGUGUGUGAAGAAGGUCUUCGGAUUGUAAAGCACUUUAAGUUGGGAGGAAGGGCAGUAAGCGAAUACCUUGCUGUUUUGACGUUACCGACAGAAUAAGCACCGGCUAACUCUGUGCCAGCAGCCGCGGUAAUACAGAGGGUGCAAGCGUUAAUCGGAAUUACUGGGCGUAAAGCGCGCGUAGGUGGUUCGUUAAGUUGAAUGUGAAAGCCCCGGGCUCAACCUGGGAACUGCAUCCAAAACUGGCGAGAUAGAGUAGGGCAGAGGGUGGUGGAAUUUCCUGUGUAGCGGUGAAAUGCGUAGAGAUAGGAAGGAACACCAGUGGCGAAGGCGACCACCUGGGCUCAUACUGACACUGAGGUGCGAAAGCGUGGGGAGCAAACAGG
rnacentral:rRNA from 1 species